CCACGGGGGGCUCCAGUUAGGUAUAAUCUACAAUGCACGAAAGUGUGAUAGUUUGAAUCAGAGUGCUUUGCUUUGCAAAGCUUUUGUGAAAUGUAAAAAGUUUCACGAAUAAGGACUGGGUAAGACUAGUGCCAGCCGCCGCGGUAAUACUAGCGGUCCAAGUCGCAGCCAUUUUUAUUGGGUCUAAAACAUCCGUAGCUUGCUUUGUAAGUUCCUUGUGAAAUCCUAUAUCUCAAAUAUAGGGCGGGCAAGGAGUACUGCUAAGCUAGAGACUGGGAGACGUAACGAGUACGUUUGAGGUAGCGGUAAAAUGUGUUAAUCUCAGACGGACUAACAAUAGCGAAGGCACGUUACGAGAACAGUUCUGACAGUAAGGGAUGAAGGCCAGGGGCGCAAAACGGAUUAGAUACCCCAGUAGUC
rnacentral:rRNA from 1 species